UUUGUCAUUUCACGUGUCCGGCCCCGGUUGGCUGGAGAGUGGAUGGGGGUGAGGGUGCCUGUCUCCCUUCCUCCCGAUCCUCACUCCGCCAAUCCCCUCUCUUCCUCCUGUCGCCCCCAUGGCGCCGCCGCCCCUGCCUCCUCACCUCCCAUGGCCCGCCCUCCCCGUCGCGUCUCUUCUCUCCAUCGCCAGUCGCGGAAGCCGCUGCGCUCCUCUUCCUCCCUAGCUGCACCACGCGGGAGGGCAAGAAGUUGACCCGAGGUCACCCGCCUCCAAUCCGACGUGCGAGGCACCCAGAGGCUCCCUCCGGUCAAAUCCGUCCGCCUCCCACGCCGGCAUCAUCCAGCACGAGUUUACCUCGUCGUCGUUCUCCUCCAAGUGUCCCGUGCGAGACGAGCCGGCCAGAUCCACCGCAUCCAUCCCUGCUCGUCGGCAACAGGUGGGGAUCCGCCUCGUCCAGCCCAACACGGGGAGGGCCGGGACGGGAGCGGCGACGGCGAGGUGUCUCUCGCUCUCACCCGUUCUUCUCCUUGCGCAUCUUAUCCCCGUCCUCACGCUGCCGCCUCUGUCCCUGUCGCCCAUUCUCUAGAGGCGGCGGCUGGCGCUGGCGUCCACGACCUCACCAAAGCAAGGAAGGAAGGAGGAGCAGGCUCCAGCGCCGGGUGCCUAAGAUCGGCACACCUCCUCCCGAUCGACCCAGACCAGCGCCAUGGCAACAAGCUUGCCCCCCUACCCCGACCUUGAACUUGAGCGGCCAAUACCACCAUGACUUGGCGGCAUAGCUGGUGGAACCGGCGUCCAUAAGCGAGCCAUCGUCCAGAUGGCCGCCGCGCUUCCGCUCAGCAGCAUAAUUAAUCUUGGUAUGGUUUAUAGCUUCCUGCUACAACUCUUACCAUUGUCCAAUCAAGUUCAUCCAUGUCAAACACUAUCGACUUGAAACAGAGUAGUGUCAAAGAGAAGGUUUGAUUGUACUAUUUAAUCGCUCAUCAAUUUCAUUUUCUACUUUCUUCAGUUGGAAAACUUCAACCUAAAAAAUAAACUGGUGGUCUAUACGAAAUAACACAUCAGUUUUCUACUGAUUUAUGCCUCACUUUUUAUUUGUCUCAACAGAUUAGAGUAAUAAAUUGAUGGUCAUUCUCUACUUUGUAUUUGUAUUUUUUUAUGAGAUUGAUCCAAGAAAGAAUGACAUGUAUGCAAUACUCACUAAAUUGUAGGGUUGUAUAGCAAGGCUUAUAGUCUCGAAUUAUUACUGUAGAUUGUCUUAUUUUAUAAAGUAUUUUGUUUAGUGAAUAUAUAUUCCAAAAUUUCUCACGUACUGUGUCUGUAGAGGAGAAAGGACCUGAUUGCAGGACACUAAAAUAUUAUUGGCUGUCAAAGCUCCGCGGUCGCUUACACAUGUAUAUUAUCCAUGUAGUCUCGGUUAUCUAGGAUCAAUUACAACAAGGCAGUUGGAUAUUUUUUAUAAUGGUGACACAUUUUCUUAAUUUAAUAUACUUCCAUAUCACUAUGUUGAUUUAUUCAUGCUAUUUUGACGAGGAUGGCAUCGAUGCCAGUUCAUGGCUAUGCAAGGCAUCAGUGCUUGAUGAUUCGUCAGAGUGAUGCGUUACUCGUUGGGGACUUAAUUUGCAGCGGAAGCAGAUGCUGUAAACUCUGAAAACUAGAUUAAUUUUGCUCAUAUGACACAAACACAAUGGCAUUUUUUCUGAGGGAGUUGAUCAUGCUUGCCUUUCCCUGAGCUCCAGCUAUUCACGCUACUGCAUAUAAUAUCCAUCGUAGCUAUAUAGAUGUCGCCAUCAUUAUGCUAUUAGACAUAAUCUGGACUACUGCCUUAAUUUCAAAAGGGUACAAUAUUAUUUUCAGUUUGUAUACCUUUAUGUAGUGUUGUAGCUUGGUUUGUUUGAAAUUUUAGUGUUCAUGUUAACAAUCACUAAAAAUGAUAGAAUUGUGGAUGUAGGUUUCUGAAACAAUCACUAAAAAAGAUAAAUAUGCAAGUGAUGAUAGAUUGUUGUUACCAUGUGGAUCUUAAGUUCCACCAUUUCCUAAUUUUGCUCUCCAGUCCGCCUCUAGGUUUCUCGGCAAGGCGACGGUGUGCGAACCAUGUGCGCCUGCCUAGCUGUAUUGCGUCUCGCGGAUGCGGCGGAUGUGGCACAUGAGCAGAUGAAAGAGGAAUAACUGAAGCCCCAAUGCCUCCACACAUUCUUGCUCCCUGACAAUGGGAGUACUAGGUUGCAAACUCCUUUCCCUUCCCUUAUAUUUACAAUAUGAUGAUGACUAUAUGAUGAUAGUGUUGUUAUAAAGGUGAGAUGCCACCACAAUGUUUCAGAGGCUCACAUCUGCCAGUACUCAUUAGAUAGAACUUGUGUUGCAGUUUUUCUUAUGUGCUUCUCUAAAUUCUCUAUUGGCCAUCGUCUAUCUCUCCUGCAUAGCUAGCCCGGUGCCAUGUCAGAAGCUAAACCAAAACUUUUAAGAUGCUUGUGUAGCAAAAUGCGUUUGGAGAUGCUCAUUUAUCUUUCAGUUACUCUGUAUAAAGUGUCAUAUUCUAUUUGGUUUUGGUUACUGGUGAUGUCUAAUUCUCCAUGCUUCUUAACAAUGAUGGCUAUGCCCAACCUGCUCAUAUUAACCAACAAUAACAGCUCAGUUGUAUCCAGUAUUUCCUAUUCAUUGGUUAUAACAAUUGACUUGUGUGUAGGAUUCGUCCAGUAUAUAUUCUGGGAUAAACAAUGGUUUGGCGAUGCUAUUAGUUCAUGAAAAGUUUGAGGAUUUUUGAUAUUAUUUUAUUGUUAACGAGUCAUGCCAGUAAGCUUUAUGUAUUUGUUCGCCGUGGGGAGCAAUGGGGCAUUGCACACUUACCUAUGUACUCCCUCCGUAAAGAAAUAUAAGAGCAUGUAGAUCACUAAAGUAGUGAUCUAAAUGCUCUUAUAUUUCUUUACAGAGGGUGUAUAUUGCUACCUGGUUAUGUUGGUCUUUCGUAGACAGGCCUUGCUAUCAUUAUGUAUGGUCCUUCUUGCCUAAUGUGUAUUAUGAAUGGUAUUUCAACCUGUGGAAUGUAUUCCUAAUCUUGGUCUAUAGAACUGCCUUUCUGAAUUUGAUGUCUCAGUUGUACUCGAACAAGAGCGCACGGAGGGAGCUCUUCUACGCCACCCCGGCGACAGGAACAAGGAAAAUCCAGUCGACGGUGCCACCAAUGAACAAGGCACAGAGCAUGAGGUGUUUGCACCAAUUGCUUUCUUCACACCACGGCCAUGGCUUUGAUCGUCGAUGGACGUCACCAAUCACCUAUUUUAACUCUGGCAAGUACCCGAUGAUAUAUGAUGCCACCGGCUCUUGUGAUGUACCAUGUAAACAACCGUGUGAUCUCCCUCUUCUUUUGUGAACACGGCCUGGCGCGUCUAUCCAUCCUUUUGUACUCAAUAUCUACCUUGUAUGAACAUUGCAUGGAUGGACGUUGCAUCCUUCAAUUUACCAUGUAUGAACAUUUUGCACCAAUUGCUUUCUUCACACCACGGCCAUGGCUUUGAUCGUCGAUGGACGUCACCAAUCACCUAUUCUAACUCUGGCAAGUACCCGAUGAUAUAUGAUGCCACCGGCUCUUGUGAUGUACCAUGUAAACAACCGUGUGAUCUCCCUCUUCUUUUGUGAACACGGCCUGCGCGUCUAUCCAUCCUUUUGUACUCAAUAUCUACCUUGUAUGAACAUUGCAUGGAUGGACAUUGCAUCCUUCAAUUUACCAUGUAUGAACAUUUGCAUCCUUUAUAAUGUGUUUACUAUCUUUCUGGUCGCUAUGGA